UGGGGAAUAUUGCACAAUGGGCGCAAGCCUGAUGCAGCCAUGCCGCGUGUGUGAAGAAGGCCUUCGGGUUGUAAAGCACUUUCAGCGGGGAGGAAGGCGUUAAGGUUAAUAACCUUGGCGAUUGACGUUACCCGCAGAAGAAGCACCGGCUAACUCCGUGCCAGCAGCCGCGGCAAUACGGAGGGUGCAAGCGUUAAUCGGAAUUACUGGGCGUAAAGCGCACGCAGGCGGUCUGUCAAGUCGGAUGUGAAAUCCCCGGGCUCAACCUGGGAACUGCAUUCGAAACUGGCAGGCUAGAGUCUUGUAGAGGGGGGUGGAAUUCCAGGUGUAGCGGUGAAAUGCGUAGAGAUCUGGAGGAAUACCGGUGGCGAAGGCGGCCCCCUGGACGAAGACUGACGCUCAGGUGCGAAAGCGUGGGGAGCAAACAGG
rnacentral:rRNA from 1 species